rnacentral:misc_RNA from 1 species
GAUGAAGAACGUAGCGAAAUGUGAUACGUAAUGUGAAUUGCAGAAUUCAGUGAAUCAUCGAGUCUUUGAACGCACAUUGCGCCCCCUGGUAUUCCGGGGGGCAUGCCUGUCCGAGCGUCAUUGCUGCCCUCAAGCACGGCUUGUGUGUUGGGCCUCCGUCCUCCUCCCGGGGGACGGGCCCGAAAGGCAGCGGCGGCACCGCGUCCGGUCCUCGAGCGUAUGGGGCUUCGUCACCCGCUCUUGUAGGCCCGGCCGGCGCUUGCCGACACAUCAAUCUUUUUUCCAGGUUGACCUCGGAUCAGGUAGGGAUACCCGCUGAACUUAAGCAUAUCAAUAGCGGAGGA